rnacentral:rRNA from 1 species
UGGGGAAUAUUGCACAAUGGGGGAAACCCUGAUGCAGCGACGCCGCGUGAACGAAGAAGGUAUUCGUAUCGUAAAGUUCUGUCCUAUGGGAAGAUAAUGACAGUACCAUAGAAGAAAGCUCCGGCUAAAUACGUGCCAGCAGCCGCGGUAAUACGUAUGGAGCGAGCGUUGUCCGGAAUUAUUGGGCGUAAAGGGUACGCAGGCGGUUUAAUAAGUCGAAUGUUAAAGAUCGGGGCUCAACCCCGCAAAGCAUUGGAAACUGAUAAACUUGAGUGGUGGAGAGGAAAGUGGAAUUCCUAGUGUAGUGGUGAAAUACGUAGAUAUUAGGAGGAAUACCAGUAGCGAAGGCGACUGUCUGGACACAAACUGACGCUGAGGUACGAAAGCGUGGGGAGCAAACAGG